ensembl:ncRNA M01A10.7 ncRNA
GAAUUCGUACAAACUGAAAUUGUGUGGGUAAAAGUUGAAAUGACAACUGACGCCGUCCGAUUUGGUAGAGUUUCUGGAAUCAA